AAGCGUCUCUACCAAAUCGUCGCUCUCUUCACCACCACACAUUGUCAGCGGCGGCUGAGUCACUCCUCGGCCGCAUCGAGAGUCGGUUAUGAACGUAAGAGGAAGAAAUGGAUGCCGCAGGAACUCACGGGAGGUGUGGUGGAGCUCACGUGCAAAUCAUCUGCGCCUAGCGUCGUCUGCAAUGUCUAUUUGGUUGGAACUCAUCACUGUUCUCCGGAAUGUGCGAAAGUAGCCCAAGCUGCUGUGCGAUUCUUCAAGCCAGAGGCAGUUUCUUAAUUAGCUAUAUAUAUUUUGUAAUAUAGCUAUGUUGUUAUGAUUAUGAUUAUGCAUCUAGUGCAGGUUGUUUUCUUGGAGUUGUGCUCUUUUCGCAAAUCUAUUUUGAUGGGUCAGAUUAGGAAGGCCCCAACCAUUCGAGAAAUGGUGGAUAUGUGGAGGAACAAUAUGACAGCUUCGUUUAUUCUUUACGAGUGGUACAUUUGCAAGCUGGUUCAAGAUGAAUCAUGGGAUGGUAUAUCCUGUGGAG